rnacentral:lncRNA from 1 species
UUUUUCAUAACUACUAUUCCUUUUGGCUUUCAAAGUAUAAUUGCCUAUCAAAUCCAGAAAAGCUUAAACAUUAUUGCAUUGCUCAUAGACUCAUUGAACAACUGAUCUGGGAUUCUUUAAAUCUUCAAUCUCUCUCCUAAUCCAUUCUAUCUUUCUCUUACCUCUGCCCAGAAAAUUCUUCAGAACCCCAAAAACCAAACUUCG